GAUGAACGCUGGCGGCGUGCCUAAUACAUGCAAGUCGAGCGAACGGACGAGAAGCUUGCUUCUCUGAUGUUAGCGGCGGACGGGUGAGUAACACGUGGAUAACCUACCUAUAAGACUGGGAUAACUUCGGGAAACCGGAGCUAAUACCGGAUGAUAUUUUGAACCGCAUGGUUCAAAAGUGAAAGACGGUCUUGCUGUCACUUAUAGAUGGAUCCGCGCUGCAUUAGCUAGUUGGUAAGGUAACGGCUUACCAAGGCAACGAUGCAUAGCCGACCUGAGAGGGUGAUCGGCCUCACUGGAACUGAGACACGGUCCAGACUCCUACGGGAGGCAGCAGUAGGGAAUCUUCCGCAAUGGGCGAAAGCCUGACGGAGCAACGCCGUGUGAGUGAUGAAGGUCUUCGGAUCGUAAAACUCUGUUAUUAGGGAAGAACAUAUGUGUAAGUAACUGUGCACAUCUUGACGGUACCUAAUCAGAAAGCCACGGCUAACUACGUG
rnacentral:rRNA from 1 species